UGCCCGAAAGGGAAAGUGGACACAGGUGCUGCAUGGCUGUCGUCAGCUCGUGUCGUGAGAUGUUGGGUUAAGUCCCGCAACGAGCGCAACCCUUGUCCUUAGUUGCCAUCAUUCAGUUGGGAACUCUAAGGAGACCGCCGGUGACAAACCGGAGGAAGGUGGGGAUGACGUCAAGUCAUCAUGGCCUUUAUGACCAGGGCUACACACGUGCUACAAUGGCAGGUACAGAGGGAAGCCAACCCGCGAGGGGGAGCUAAUCCCAGAAAACCUGUCUUAGUCCGGAUUGGAGUCUGCAACUCGACUCCAUGAAGUUGGAAUCGCUAGUAAUCGCAGAUCAGCAUUGCUGCGGUGAAUACGUUCCCGGGUCUUGUACACACCGCCCGUCACACCAUGGGAGUUGAUUGCACCAGAAGCAGGUAGCCUGACCGCAAGGAGGGCGCUUACCACGGUGUGGUUAAUGACUGGGGUGAAGUCGUAACAAGGUAGCCGUUACGGGAACG
rnacentral:rRNA from 1 species